rnacentral:lncRNA from 1 species
UCUUCUGAUUAUUUUUUUUUUCUUCCGCCUAAUUUUGUUCUUGCGAUAAACAUUUGUUUCGCAAUAUGUCGCUUAGAUAUUUGGUAUAUGAUAUCGAACAGUUUAUGCGCUUUUGAAAUUUACCCUGCGUAAACGAAUACUUUUCUUUGUAGGAGUUAUCUCCCCAAACACUGUUUUCCUUGUUAGCGCAUCUCCUUCGCAACCGUAAUAUAUUAUGACAAAUUUAUUUUAGAAAAUUGCUCGUUAUAUCCUUCCCAUGAUUUGUCCUAUUUUGACCGAAGUUAUAUGAACGCUCCAUAUGAGAGUUAUUUCCCCUUAUGCAUUUGAUAUAAGUGAUAUGCAUUUCUAUCUUGUAAACCAUAAGUGCUAGAGACUUAGGAUCUUUUGAUUUGAGGUCCUUGGUCCCAAAAAAUGAAAAUUAGGUCAAGGUCAAAGGUCAAGGUCAUAUUCUAAUUUUUGAAUUUGGCUAAUUCUGUCUUAUUUCCAGAAACUGUAUAAGAUAACAACAAAUUAUGUUACCUAAAUUGUUUGUUGCGACAUGUCGUUACACGUAAAUUUUGAUUGCAAGGGUACGUUGAACGUAAAAGGGAGUUUUCUCCCCUCUUGUAUUAAAAAAUAUGCGUAUGGUGAUAUAACUCAUUAACCAACUAUAAAUAAGACUUAUAGUCUUUUGAUUUGUGGUCCUUGGUUUGUGACCUUGAAAUAGAAGUCAAGGUCAUAGGUUAAUAGGACGUUCUAGAUUUUGACCUUCUCUUUAAAUUCAUAUAAAUACAUCAUAAAGCCAUAAGGAACUAAUAUUAUUAACUGAUUUUUACUAUAUCAAUAUCAAAAUAGAUCUUUACUAGUGGAAAGACCUUCAAUUGUUCUCUGAACAAUUGGUUUUUAAUU